UGCUGACACUGAACAUCUCCCCAAAUGGAUGAAUGGGCUAGCCACCAGAGAAAGGAAGCCUGGAAAUACAAUUCGAAGUAGUUGAAGAUUUGAAGAGGACACUUGAUGGAGCCAGGUUCUGAAGCAGAUGGGAGGGGAGACUCUCAAACAGCCUUGCAAGCCAAGGACAUCUUAAGUGUGCAGGCUCCUUGGGUCACUUGUAAUGGCCGCUUACUGAGUAAGGACACACCCGGUAAAAGGAAAAAGCUCCAAGACUCCAAGCACAGCCAUCCAAGACUCCAAGCACAGUGCUUCGGCAACCUGUGUUCAAGAUCCAAGCUGCUUCAGUGGCCAAAGUCAUCUUCCUGCUUCCUGAGGAAAGGAGAGUCUGUGAUGAGAAUUCAUAUGCAAAUACUUUAUUUGGGAGAUGUAGGAAAUACUUGCAGAGGAACAGGGCAGAGAAUAGAGGAGUAGGCAGGUAAUAAAGGCUGUGGGAUUAAGUCACUAUUGCUGUGGGUGACUGAGGCUUUAUCUUGCAGGGAAACUGGAGGAAAUGGUGAGAAACAGAAACCCAGAGGAAUCCAACCCCAGGGGCUAGGGACCAUGGUAGUGUUUAUAUAUGGAUUCCUGUGAGCUGGUGAGAGAAGGCUGUUCCUGAGAGGUGCUUAUUUCCUGGUACUUCUAGCCUGCUCUAGGUUCUACAAAUAGGGCUUUUUUUCCACCACCCCCCCUUCUUCUUCUUCUUUU